AUUAGAUACAAAUGGAACACACUAAGGCCACCAACAAACCAAACAGAUAUAAAGGUGUAAACUACUAGCACAAUGGAAGCAGGAGUCUUUGUCAUUGCUUUCCAAAUUGUUGUCUCCUCACUAUUCAUGAUCCUCUUGAUGUAAACCCAACAAAAUCCAUGUACAUAAAAGCAAAGAAGAGUUGCAGAGAACACAAACAUGAAGAAGAACCGGUAAUUCCUCAAUCCAAUGCAUUGACCAACCCAAGGACAGUGAUGAUCAAAUCUUUCCACACAGUUAUUACAUAUUGAACAAUGAGAACAGCGUGGAGGCCUAUAAAGCAU
rnacentral:misc_RNA from 1 species